UGGUAUCUGAUUGACCCCGUUCUAAUCCCUGUCCUUCAUGAAGUCCCAGUGACUCCUUCCCCCCACAUCACUGCACAUAUCCCUACUAUAUCCCUUCUCCAGUCUGCUACUGCACAUCACUGCCCUACUAUAUCCCUUCUCCAGUCUGCUACUGCACAUCACUGCCCUACUAUAUCCCGUCUCAGUCUGCUACUGCACAUCACUGCCCUACUAUAUCCCGUCUCCAGUCUGCUACUGCGUAUCACUGCCCUACUAUAUCCCGUCUCCAGUCUGCUACUGCACAUCACUGCCCUACUAUAUCGCGUCUCCAGUCUGCUACUGCACAUCACUGCCCUACUAUAUCCCUUCUCCAGUCUGCUACUGCACAUCACUGCCCUACUAUAUCCCGUCUCCAGUCUGCUACUGCACAUCACUGCCCUACUAUAUCCCGUCUCCAGUCUGCUACUGCACAUCACUACCCUACUAUAUCCCGUUCUCCAGUCUGCUACUGCACAUCACUGCCCUACUAUAUCCCUUCUCCAGUCUGUUACUGCACAUCACUGCCCUACUAUAUCCAGUCUGCUACUGCACAUCACUGCCCUACUAUAUCCAGUCUGCUACUGCACAUCACUGCCCUACUAUAUCCAGUCUCCAGUCUGCUACUGCACAUCACUGCCCUACUAUAUCCAGUCUCCAGUCUGUUACUGCACAUCACUGCCCUACUAUAUCCCUUCUCCAGUCUGUUACUGCACAUCACUGCCCUACUAUAUCCCGUCUCCAGUCUGCAACUGCACAUCACUGCCCUACUAUAUCCCGUCUGCUACUGCACAUCACUGCCCUACUAUAUCCAGUCUGCUACUGCACAUCACUGCCCUACUAUAUCCCGUCUCCAGUCUGCUACUGCACAUCACUGCCCUACUAUAUCCAGUCUCCAGUCUGCUACUGCACAUCACUGCCCUACUAUAUCCAGUCUGCUACUGCACAUCACUGCCCUACUAUAUCCCGUCUCCAGUCUGCUACUGCACAUCACUGCCCUACUAUAUCCCGUCUCCAGUCUGCUACUGCACAUCACUGCCCUACUAUAUCCCUUCUCCAGUCUGCUACUGCACAUCACUGCCCUACUAUAUCCCUUCUCCAGUCUGCUACUGCACAUCACUGCCCUACUAUAUCCCGUCUCCAGUCUGCUACUGCACAUCACUGCCCUACUAUAUCCCGUCUGCUACUGCACAUCACUGCCCUACUAUAUCCAGUCUGCUACUGCACAUCACUGCCCUACUAUAUCCCGUCUCCAGUCUGCUACUGCACAUCACUGCCCUACUAUAUCCAGUCUGCUACUGCACAUCACUGCCCUACUAUAUCCCGUCUCCAGUCUGCUACUGCACAUCACUGCCCUACUAUAUCCAGUCUCCAGUCUGCUACUGCACAUCACUGCCCUACUAUAUCCAGUCUGCUACUGCACAUCACUGCCCUACUAUAUCCCGUCUCCAGUCUGCUACUGCACAUCACUGCCCUACUAUAUCCCGUCUCCAGUCUGCUACUGCACAUCACUGCCCUACUAUAUCCCUUCUCCAGUCUGCUACUGCACAUCACUGCCCUACUAUAUCCCUUCUCCAGUCUGCUACUGCACAUCACUGCCCUACUAUAUCCCGUCUGCUACUGCACAUCACUGCCCUACUAUAUCCAGUCUGCUACUGCACAUCACUGCCCUACUAUAUCCCGUCUCCAGUCUGCUACUGCACAUCACUGCCCUACUAUAUCCAGUCUCCAGUCUGCUACUGCACGUCACUGCCCUACUAUAUCCAGUCUGCUACUGCACAUCACUGCCCUACUAUAUCCCGUCUCCAGUCUGCUACUGCACAUCACUGCCCUACUAUAUCCCGUCUCCAGUCUGCUACUGCACAUCACUGCCCUACUAUAUCCCUUCUCCAGUCUGCUACUGCACAUCACUGCCCUACUAUAUCCCUUCUCCAGUCUGCUACUGCACAUCACUGCCCUACUAUAUCCCUUCUCCAGUCUGCUACUGCACAUCACUGCCCUACUAUAUCCCGUCUCCAGUCUGCUACUGCACAUCACUGCCCUACUAUAUCCCGUCUCCAGUCUGCUACUGCACAUCACUGCCCUACUAUAUCCAGUCUGCUACUGCACAUCACUGCCCUACUAUAUCCCGUCUCCAGUCUGCUACUGCCCUACUAUAUCCCUUCUCCAGUCUGUUACUGCACAUCACUGCCCUACUAUAUCCCUUCUCCAGUCUGCUACUGCACAUCACUGCCCUACUAUAUCCAGUCUGCUACUGCACAUCACUGCCCUACUAUAUCCCGUCUCCAGUCUGCUACUGCACAUCACUGCCCUACUAUAUCCCUUCUCCAGUCUGCUACUGCACAUCACUGCCCUACUAUAUCCCGUCUCCAGUCUGCUACUGCACAUCACUGCCCUACUAUAUCCCUUCUCCAGUCUGCUACUGCACAUCACUGCACAUAUCCCUACUAUAUCCCUUCUCCAGUCUGCUGGUUUAGAUGUUGUAUAAGGUUUUUAGAAUGCAUACAUUUGUUACAAAGGUGA
rnacentral:lncRNA from 1 species